rnacentral:lncRNA from 1 species
AUAUUUUAAGCCAAUGAGUCUCUCCAUUCUGCAUCAUAAUUAUAAUAAGUAGAUAUUAUUAGUUUACUUCGCAAGCAAUAAAUCAUGUAUAUUUGUAUGGGUGAAUUUGCUGAAUAUUCUUAAGAGGCAAGAAAAUGAAGAAUAUAGCCAUUAUACUCUAAUUCAAGAUGGAUUGGACAAUUUGCGCAAAACAUGACCAAAAUCUCCCUUCAGACGUGUGCGCUUGAUGUUUUAAUGCAUAAGAUAAAAUUAUCAUACUAUUUAGUAUAGGCACACGAAUAAUUUCACUCUAACUAUACUAUAUUUCAUUUAGAAUAGUAUGGCAAUUGAUGUUGGGUACCGACGUAAUGAAACACAACCAAAUAAACCCUAAACCCGCUACCUAAACCCAAACUCUAAACACUAAACCCUAAACCCAUACCCUAAACUCUAAACCCAAACGGUAGACUCUAAAACCCUAAACCCAAACCGUAUACCCUAAACCCAAACCCUAACACAAAUCUUAACCCAAACCGUAGGGAGCUACCAGAACCCUAAACCAUAAACCCAAACCCCAAACACAAAUUUUUAAGCCAUACCCAAACGGAGCUACCUAAACCCUAAAACCCCCUAAACCCAAAUUCUAAACCCUAAACCCAAACCGUAAACCCUUAACCCAAACCCUAAACCCAAAUUGUAAAACCAAACCAUCGCCCAUAAUAGAGCUACCUAAACCCUAACCUUGAAGGUCUAAACCCUAAACCCAAACCGUAGACCCUAAACCCAAACCCUAAACACAAAACCCCCUAAACCCAAACUCCAAACUCUAAACUCUAAACCCAAACCGUAAACCCUUAACCCAAACCCUAAACCCAAAUUGUAAAACCAGACCAUCGCCCAUAAC